UAAUGCUAAAUUAACUACUGCCGCAUU
rnacentral:sRNA from 1 species